GGAAUUCUUUAGAGAGUUUUUUUAGUUACGUGUACUGGGAAAACACUUCUAAAGUAUAUUUUGGACCUUUGACAAGGAUUUUGCAAGACAUUUCCGCUGGCUUUUUGGCCUGGGCAUAGACCGCCCAUCCUGACUUCAGCUUUCUCAUUUAUAAAGCAGAUAUGCGGCUCCAUAGCUCCAUGCACUGGGUGAAGCUCACUACCUAAGUUUGACCACAGCUGUUCUUGUCCUCUUCAGUGAGAUGAACUCACUAGUCACAGUCUUGGAUGUGGCAAUGUCAAAUUGCUAUAGUAUUUCUAAACACCAACCCUCAUUUUCAGUACUGAUGUAACCAUGG